rnacentral:rRNA from 1 species
AAAACAACUCUCAGCAACGGAUAUCUUGGCUCUUGCAACGAUGAAGAACGCAGCGAAAUGCGAUACGUAGUGUGAAUUGCAGAAUUCCGCGAAUCAUCGAGUCUUUGAACGCAAGUUGCGCCCGAGGCUUGUCCGAGGGCAUUUCCGCUAGAGCGUCACCGCGCCCCCCCACCCUCCCCACCCCUCCCCGCGCGGGUCGGGUCGGGUCGAGUGAAAGUG